rnacentral:rRNA from 1 species
GAUGAACGCUGGCGGCAUGCCUAAUACAUGCAAGUCGAACGAGAGGAAGGAAAGCUUGCUUUCCUGAAUCUAGUGGCGAACGGGUGAGUAACACGUAGGUAACCUGCCCAUGUGCCCGGGAUAACUUCUGGAAACGGAUGCUAAAACCGGAUAGGUAGCAGACAAGCAUUUGACUGCUAUUAAAGUGGCCUUGGCCAUGAACAUGGAUGGACCUGCGGUGCAUUAGCUAGUUGGUGAGGUAACGGCCCACCAAGGCGACGAUGCAUAGCUGGCCUGAGAGGGCGGACGGCCACAUUGGGACUGAGACACGGCCCAAACUCCUACGGGAGGCAGCAGUAGGGAAUUUUCGUCAAUGGGGGGAACCCUGAACGAGCAAUGCCGCGUGAGUGAGGAAGGUCUUCGGAUCGUAAAGCUCUGUUGUAAGAGAAAAACGGCACUCAUAGGGAAUGAUGAGUGAGUGAUGGUAUCUUACCAGAAAGUCACGGCUAACUUCGUGCCAGCAGCCGCCGUAAAAC